rnacentral:rRNA from 1 species
CUGAGGUACUGGAAGGUCCUCAGGCCGAAAGGGGCUCUGCCCGCCCGAGGAUGGGCCGGCGGCCGAUUAGGUAGUUGGUGGGGUAACGGCCCACCAAGCCGAAGAUCGGUACGGGCCAUGAGAGUGGGAGCCCGGAGAUGGACACUGAGACACGGGUCCAGGCCCUACGGGGCGCAGCAGGCGCGAAACCUCCGCAAUGCGGGCAACCGCGACGGGGGGACCCCCAGUGCCGUGGCAACGCCACGGCUUUUCCGGAGUGUAAAAAGCUCCGGGAAUAAGGGCUGGGCAAGGCCGGUGGCAGCCGCCGCGGUAAUACCGGCGGCCCGAGUGGUGGCCGCUAUUAUUGGGCCUAAAGCGUCCGUAGCCGGGCCCGUAAGUCCCUGGCGAAAUCCCACGGCUCAACCGUGGGGCUUGCUGGGGAUACUGCGGGCCUUGGGACCGGGAGAGGCCGGGGGUACCCCUGGGGUAGGGGUGAAAUCCUAUAAUCCCAGGGGGACCGCCAGUGGCGAAGGCGCCCGGCUGGAACGGGUCCGACGGUGAGGGACGAAGGCCAGGGGAGCGAACCGGAUUAGAUACCCGGGUAGUCCUGGCUGUAAAGGAUGCGGGCUAGGUGUCGGGCGAGCUUCGAGCUCGCCCGGUGCCGA